UACGGGGGGAGCAAGCGUUGUUCGGAUUUACUGGGCGUAAAGGGCGCGUAGGCGGCACCGCAAGUCGACUGUGAAAUCUCCGGGCUUAACCCGGAAAGGUCAGCCGAUACUGCGGGGCUAGAGUGCAGAAGGGGCAACUGGAAUUCUCGGUGUAGCGGUGAAAUGCGUAGAUAUCGAGAGGAACACCAAUUGCGAAGGCAGCUCGCUGGGACGUGACUGACGCUGAGACGCGAAAGCGUGGGGAGCAAACAGG
rnacentral:rRNA from 1 species